rnacentral:rRNA from 1 species
CCCUCAAAAUGAGAUGUCCCAUAGCGUAAGCUAGUACGGUCCCUGAGAGAUGCUCAGGUUUAUAGGUUCGAGGUGGAAGCAUGGUGACAUGUGGAGCUGACGAAUACUAAUAGAUCGAGGACUUAACCAUA